AUCUUUGGGGCAGGGUGAAAUUCCCUACCGGCAGUUAAAGUCUGCGACGGCGCUUUUGUUUUUUAAGCGCCUUGACGGGGUGAAAAUCCCCGACCGACGGUACAGUCCGGAUGAAAAAAGAU
rnacentral:ncRNA from 1 species